GGAGAGGUGCGUGAGUGGUUGUAAACGAGCGGUCUUGAAAACCGCCAGGUGUAAAAGCCUCCAGGGUUCGAAUCCCUGUCUCUCCG
rnacentral:tRNA from 1 species